rnacentral:pre_miRNA from 1 species
UUGCUCUGUCCUAAGUCAAACUUAUCCAACUUUGACCAAGUUCAUAGAAAAAUAUAACAACUAUACCACCAAACAUAUGCACUAUCAAAAUAUAUUCCAUGGUGGAUUUAAUGAAACAAAUUUGGUGUUGUAGAUGUUAUAUUUUUCUACUAACUUGGUCAAAGUUGGACAAGUUUGACUUAGGACAAAGCAAA